CCAAGUCCCUGGAGUUGACUGUUUUCCUGUUGUAAUCCACUUUACUAUGCUAAUGCAGACCAGACCUUCACAUCACUCAGACAGGCUGUUAGUAAUGACAUUAAUGAGAAUCCUGAAGUAAGUCCUCCAGACCAGCAGGGGGUUCAGAGUGCGUUAUUCUGGAGCUCAGUGGAGUCACCUUCAUGGACGCCAUGGGCGCAUUAAAAUCAGUUAGUGUCACAGAACACACACAUGUACCCACACGUAGAAGUGUUGAUAUUUUACCAGAGAUGAACAGAAAUAGGUUACUUGUUACUGGCUCUCAUUAACUGCUAACCAAUAAAUGGCUUUUUAAAUUCUGCUUGUCACCAUGAUCGUGUUUAAAUGCAAACAUGCAUGUCUUACCACUCUCUCUGGGUCACAGGUACUUCAGGAAUUUGAGAACACGCAGACCUUGUUUUUCUGUGCUGCAUGUCCAGAUUACAUGUCUCACACGUACAGCUACAGUCUCAAAUGUAGUUUCAUGAUCUGAGAUGGUUUACUAUCUCAGAUGAAGAAUCAUGGUUUUGUUCCAGAUUUUCUGUCUCUUUCUUCAUUUUCCCCUUCAGUGCAUCAUGCAAUGCUGCACUACCAGGGGCUACAGAGCACAGGCACACAUGUUACAGAGCUGUGACCUACCUCACUUCCUGAACGAUGAACUCGACAAAUACAUGAACUUGCAAACCUGAAAAAGAAACCCUCACUACCGAGCUUUAGAAGUGACACUUCAAGAUAGAACGGAAAAGGAAUACAAGAACUUCCAAUUUUGAUUUAAUGAUUUGGAUCAACUUUGUGCAUUCAUCUGGAUUUAAGGUGAUGUGU